GCCGGGCAUAGUGGUGCAUGCCUGUAGUCCUAGCUACUCAGGAGGCUGAGGUGGAAGGAUUGCUUGAGCCCAGGAUAUUGAGGCUGCAGUGAGCUGUGAUCAUGCCACUGCACUCUAGCCUGGGCGACAAAGCCAGACCCUGUCUCAA
rnacentral:SRP_RNA from 1 species